rnacentral:sRNA from 1 species
UGGGUGAUGGUGGGCCCGGAUCUGGAGCAAGAAAGAUAUUGCAAGAGAAUAUUCUGGCCAAGGCGAAUGGGCAGUUGGCUGUGGACCGGCGACUUGCAGGGGGUGGAAAAGCAUAAUAAUCAUAAUAGGGGAGGCGGAAAGAGUUAAUUCAUACCUUGGUGGCCGAGGGGGAAGCCUCCGAGCGAGCCGGAGAGCGGCCGCAGGGACCGCAGAAACUGAAAAGCUAGAUGCUGGAUGCGAGUUUAGACUCGAAAACGACGGGGUUUUCGUUUUUUUGACCCCAUCCAUGGCUGGAUUGGUUUGAGCCAUGAUAUGCGAGCACAUUAUUGACAUGUUGUUCUGAGUUUCGCGUUUGAAGUUAACCUUGGUCGAUUUAAAUGGUUCCUGACCGUUCCUGUGGCAGGUAUACGGGCAGGUAUAAGGUGUGAUACCUACCAUCAAAAGCAGAAUACUAUGCAGUAAAAAUUCUGAUAAAAUAAUAAUAAACAAUAAUAACGGCAAUAGGGAUAAAGGAAUUUUUUAAAACCUCCCCGUGUCUACGGCAGUAUGUGAUGCAUCUAUGUUUUUUUGGAGUAGCCAACGCUAGUUAGUGUAAUCCGCCUCCCCCUCUCGG